UGGGACACAAGUUUUCCUAGCAUUUUUCUUCUUUCCCCAGUUCAAUUUGCCUUAAAAUGGAAGACCUGUGCUGCAGACCUACCUGUUUUUACACAGGUGUGCCACUGAGGGAACACAGAAGUUAGAAGGGGUGUUUCUUUCCUCAGCCCCAGUUCUGCUGGCCUAGAUAAUGAUUCACCUCACAAGUUUCAGCUGAGUUGCUUGUGAGGCAAGGAAGCAUGUUACAGGUCCCAUAGCUGUGUAGGAGACAAGAGUCUGUUUUGCUCGCAAGACAGGUCUUAAUUACUAACUGCAAAUUGUUAUUUGGUGCUAAAGUGCUGGGAGAAGAUAAAUGAAAGCAGAGAAAGCAUUCAGUAGCUGCUGAAAAAGGCCUCCAACUCCCAGACACAAGGAGAUGUCUCAUUAAUUAUUUGCUUUCAUGCCCUUUGGGCUCAAAAGACAGCAGCAAUAACAUUACUUUUGUUUGCAGCUGAGUGUUCUUUUUUGACUGAGCGUCUCAAAGACAGCAGCGGAAAUGAGGACUGCUAAGAACACAGUGAUCUUUCCAACAUUACUGAGCCAUUCGGGAUUACAGCUGUUAAAUGCAAGCACAAGCAGAGUUGAACAGUUCCAAGACAGCCUUCUGAAAGCACUCUGCUUCCUUACAGCCCAGGCGAUGACUUCUCAGUGCAGCAGGACUGAUAAUUUUAGCCCAGGAGUACUCUCAGCAUUACAGAUGCAUUUUACAAUUUUGCUGCUUCCAGCAAUUACGUUAUUUCCAUAUUAGCCUCUUUCUACAUACUAGCCAGAGCAGGUUGCAGAGCAAAAGAAAAAAGAAAGUGAGGCCCAAAGAACAUUGUUUCAAAAAACAUUUGUGAUGCAGCCAGGAAAAAAACACAGAAGCACCCUGCCUCAUGAAUUCUGUAUCUGUGAGUUGUGCCAGGCAAGAAAUGAGACUCGGUAUGCUUUUAUACUUUACGUUGUCAAAACUCAUUGAAAAUUAAUAUAAGUAAUAUUUUUAUCUCUGCAUGAUAGCAAGGGGUUUUAGAUAUGGUGUUCUGUAUUCAAAUGGGAUUUUAAUGUAGUAUCAGAAAGAUUGUGAUAAAGAGCUUUACAAAUCUCCUAAUAUAUUAAAUGUAGGUGUUCCUAGAAGUUGGAAAAUCUUCAAAAGCAAGUUUAAGGUCAGUUUAAUUUAGUUACCUUUGCUGAGGUAAAAGAGCAUCUGAAUUAAAUAUAAUGACCCGCCUCUUCCACAAACAGUUUUGUAAGGCAGGAUUCUCCCAGAGCUCCAAAAACAGUCUUAUGGGAUUUCCUUGCUGGAUGAGUAUAGUGUGUGGAGGUUGUAUGAGCAAAUGCCUUAGAGAAAGGUAGAUCAGCAUCACUGCUUAAGAAGAUUAAUUCUUUAAAAGCUACUUAUGGGAGAGGUGAUCUUUUAUGUGUGAACCAAAAGCAAUUAAUUAAAAUGGGUCAAUUAGCCUUUCAAAUACAACUGCAUUCAGAGUUCUGGUUUUUAUGUAUUCAUGCAUGAAACUGUAAAAUAAAGGUAGGGGGGAAACCUACAUGACUCAUACAGGGCAGAAUGAAGAAGUAAAUAUAGCCUUCACCUUCUGUCAGUCCCACGCUCAGGAACAUGUAUAUUCUGACAUGUUGGGUUCUGUCAAGGGUGCAUGUCACAGCAGCAGUCUGCAUCUGUGCCAUCCUCUAGCGUAACAGAGCUGAACAAACUGUGAAGACAGAAAAAUGUGCAACCCAACACUGAAACAAAAACAUUUUUUUAAGUGGAAGAGUCAGGCUCCAACUGUGUGAGUGAAAAGGGAAUUGUAAGGAAUUUGAUUCUUUUUGGUCUUCCAAAUAAAUACAAUGGCAUCAAUAGCAUGAGAACAGAAAAUCUUUAAAUUUUGAGGUUUUUGAAGGAGGCAUCACAAACUAAAUUUUCGCACAAGUCCCUGGAAAGAAAAGGCAAACCCACCUAGACAAAAUUGGUUUUGCUGAGCCUAGACUAAAUGCAGCGAUUUGAAUAAUGUCAGGCAUGCAAUAUAUUUUAAAGAACAGAUUGAUGAGACCUAGAAAUCUUCUUUGUUCUAUCAGUCAACUUGAAAUGCAUUUCCUUUCAAAUGUGUCUAGAAUCUGCACAAGAAUCAAUGUAUGUAAAUUCAGAGAUGAAAGCAAUAAUUCAUACUGGUAGGAAAGCAUAAUGCAUUGCUAGUAUGAAUGCCAAUCAUCCUCCAUAGGCUAUGAUGAAUGGGAAGAUUACAUGCACCUAAUAAAACUGAACAUUUCAGAAUGCACACAAUCCAUAAGUGAGAACUUCGGGGUUUACAGUUUGUCUAUGAGCUCCCAGCAGAUGCAAAGAAGGGCUGGGAUGCUGUAUUUAUGUUAAAA